GUCCACGCCGUAAACGUUGGGCGCUAGGUGUGGGGAACUUUCCACGUUCUCCGUGCCGCAGCUAACGCAUUAAGCGCCCCGCCUGGGGAGUACGGCCGCAAGGCUAAAACUCAAAGGAAUUGACGGGGGCCCGCACAAGCGGCGGAGCAUGUGGCUUAAUUCGACGCAACGCGAAGAACCUUACCAAGGCUUGACAUAUACCGAAAACUGGCAGAGAUGUCAGGUCCGCAAGGGCGGUAUACAGGUGGUGCAUGGUUGUCGU
rnacentral:rRNA from 1 species